rnacentral:rRNA from 1 species
CAUAGCGACUAUCGUGGCAUAUCAAUAAGCGGAGGAAAAGAAACUAACAAGGAUUCCCUUAGUAACGGCGAGUGAAGCGGGAAGAGCUCAAAUUUGAAAUCUUCAAGGUUUUACCUUGACGAAUUGUAGUUUAAAGAAGUGUUUUCUGUUGGAGUUUUGGUAAAAGUUCUUUGGAAUAGGACAUCAUAGAGGGUGAGAAUCCCGUAUUUGACCAUUAUUUCAGCUGUGUGAUACACUUUCAAAGAGUCGGAUUGUUUGGGAAUGCAGUCCAAAAUGGGUGGUAAAUUUCAUCUAAAGCUAAAUAUUGGCGAGAGACCGAUAGCGAACAAGUACCGUGAGGGAAAGAUGAAAAGAACUUUGAAAAGAGAGUUAAACAGUACGUGAAAUUGUCAAAGGGGAAGCGUUUGACACCAGUGUUGUUUUCUCGAAAAUCAAUUAAAAAUGAUGGGAUUUUGUGUUGUAUUGACUUUAUCAGCUUUCUGCACUUUUUUCCUGUCUUUUUUAAUGCACUUUUCGUUUAACAAGUCAACAUCAAUUUCUUUUGCUGUAAAAGAGUCAUUGGAAGGUGGCUUUCUUUUCGGAGAAAGUGUUUAUAGCCUUUGACUUCUGCAGUCGGAGAGAUUGAGGUCUGCAGCGUAGAUCCUUCGGGGUUAGAUACAUUUGUGCUAAGCUAUAGCCUUUCAUAGACAACUUGUUGACUAUGAUCAGUCAUGUAGCUUACUCGCUUAUGCUAUUUUACCUACGCUUAGGAUGUUGAUAUGCAUGACUGAUAU